rnacentral:rRNA from 1 species
UUUCCGGUUGAUCCUGCCAGAGGCUACUGUCAUCAGAGUUCGAUUAAGCCAUGCUAGUUAAGGGGACCUUCCUUCGGGAAGGUAACCCGGCAGACGGCUCAGUAACACGUGGACAAUUUACCCUUGGGACCAGGAUAACCCCUGGGAAACUGGGGCUAAUACUGGAUAGAGCAUCGGCUGCUGGAAUGCGCGAUGUUCGAAAGUUGAGGCGCCCAAGGAUAGGUCUGCGACUGAUUAGGUUGUUGUUGACGUAACGGAUCAACAAGCCCGCGAUCGGUACGGGUUGUGAGAGCAAUAGCCCGGAGAUGGGUUCUGAGAAAAGAACCCAGGUCCUACGGGACGCAUCAGGCGCGAAAACUUUACAAUGUGCGAAAGCGCGAUAAGGGAACUCUGAGUGCCUCCUAAGGAGGCUGUUCAGGUGUCUAAAAAGCAUCUGGAGUAAGGGCUGGGCAAGACCGGUGCCAGCCGCCGCGGUAACACCGGCAGCUCAAGUGGUAGCCAUGUUUAUUGGGUCUAAAGCGUCCGUAGCCGGCUGAGUAAGUUCCUUGGGAAAUUUGACCGCUUAACGGUUAAGCUAUCAGGGAAUACUGCUUGGCUUGGGACCGGGAGUGGUCAGAGGUACUCCAGGGGUAGGGGUGAAAUCUAUUAAUCCUGGGGGGACCACCGGUAGCGAAGGCGUCUGACCAGACCGGGUCCGACGGUGAGGGACGAAGGCUGGGGUCACGAACCGGAUUAGAUACCCGGGUAGUCCCAGCUGUAAACGAUGCGGACCAGGUGUUGGCAUUACUGCGAGUGAUGUCAGUGCCAAAGGGAAGCCGUUAAGCCCGCCAUCUGGGGAGUACGGUCGCAAGGCUGAAACUUAAAGAAAUUGGCGGGGGAGCACC